UACGUAGGGUGCGAGCGUUGUCCGGAAUUAUUGGGCGUAAAGGGCUCGUAGGCGGUUUGUCGCGUCGGGAGUGAAAACCCAGGGCUUAACCCUGGGCUGGCUUCCGAUACGGGCAGACUAGAGGUAUGCAGGGGAGAACGGAAUUCCUGGUGUAGCGGUGAAAUGCGCAGAUAUCAGGAGGAACACCGGUGGCGAAGGCGGUUCUCUGGACCGGUACUGACGCUGAACUGCGAAAGCCAGGGGAGCAAACGGG
rnacentral:rRNA from 1 species